GACGAACGCUGGCUGCGUGCUUAACACAUGCAAGUCGAACGGAAAGGCCCUGCUUGCAGGGUACUCGAGUGGCGAACGGGUGAGUAACACGUGGGUGAUCUGCCCUGCACUUCGGGAUAAGCCUGGGAAACUGGGUCUAAUACCGGAUAGGAGCCAUUUUUAGUGUGAUGGUUGGAAAGUUUUUUCGGUGUAGGAUGAGCUCGCGGCCUAUCAGCUUGUUGGUGGGGUAAUGGCCUACCAAGGCGGCGACGGGUAGCCGGCCUGAGAGGGUGGACGGCCACAUUGGGACUGAGAUACGGCCCAGACUCCUACGGGAGGCAGCAGUGGGGAAUAUUGCACAAUGGGCGCAAGCCUGAUGCAGCGACGCCGCGUGGGGGAUGACGGCCUUCGGGUUGUAAACUCCUUUCGCUAGGGACGAAGCUUUUUGUGACGGUACCUAGAUAAGAAGCACCGGCUAACUACGUG
rnacentral:rRNA from 1 species